rnacentral:rRNA from 1 species
UGCGUAGGCGGUGCUCUAAGUUUGGUGUGAAAUCUCCCGGCUCAACUGGGAGGGUGCGCCGAAAACUGGAGUGCUCGAGUAUGGGAGAGGUAAGCGGAAUUCCUGGUGUAGCGGUGAAAUGCGUAGAUAUCAGGAGGAACACCUGCGGUGUAGACGGCUUACUGGACCAUGACUGACGCUGAGGCACGAAAGCGUGGGUAGCAAACAGGAUUAGAUACCCUGGUAGUCCACGCCCUAAACGAUGCAUACUUGGUGUGAGCGAUUCAUUUCGUUCGUGCCGGAGCUAACGCGUUAAGUAUGCCGCCUGGGGAGUACGGUCGCAAGGCUGAA